GAUGAACGCUGGCGGCGUGCCUAAUACAUGCAAGUCGAGCGAACGGACGAGAAGCUUGCUUCUCUGAUGUUAGCGGCGGACGGGUGAGUAACACGUGGAUAACCUACCUAUAAGACUGGGAUAACUUCGGGAAACCGUAGCUAAUACCGGAUAAUAUUUUGAACCGCAUGGUUCAAAAGUGAAAGACGGUCUUGCUGUCACUUAUAGAUGGAUCCGCGCUGCAUUAGCUAGUUGGUAAGGUAACGGCUUACCAAGGCAACGAUGCAUAGCCGACCUGAGAGGGUGAUCGGCCACACUGGAACUGAGACACGGUCCAGACUCCUACGGGAGGCAGCAGUAGGGAAUCUUCCACAAUGGGCGAAAGCCUGACGGAGCAACGCCGCGUGAGUGAUGAAGGACUUCGGAUCGUAAAACUCUGUUAUUAGGGAAGAACAUAUGUGUAAGUAACUGUGCACAUCUUGACGGUACCUAAUCAGAAAGCCACGGCUAACUACGUG
rnacentral:rRNA from 1 species